rnacentral:rRNA from 1 species
GAGUUUGAUCCUGGCUCAAGACGAACGCUGGCGGCGUGCUUAACACAUGCAAGUCGAACGGAGUACCCCCGAAAGAGAUUUCGGACAAUGGAUAGGACUAGCUUAUGGCGGACUGGUGAGUAACGCGUGAGGAACCUGCCUUUCAGAGGGGGACAACAGUUGGAAACGACUGCUAAUACCGCAUGACGCACCGGUAUCGCAUGGCUCUGAUGCCAAAGAUUUAUCGCUGAAAGAUGGCCUCGCGUCUGAUUAGCUAGUUGGUGAGGUAACGGCCUACCAAGGCGACGAUCAGUAGCCGGACUGAGAGGUUGGCCGGCCACAUUGGGACUGAGAUACGGCCCAGACUCCUACGGGAGGCAGCAGUGGGGAAUAUUGGGCAAUGGGCGCAAGCCUGACCCAGCAACGCCGCGUGAAGGAAGAAGGCUUUCGGGUUGUAAACUUCUUUUGACGGGGAAGAGCAGAAGACGGUACCUGUCGAAUAAGCCACGGCUAACUACGUGCCAGCAGCCGCGGUAAUACGUAGGUGGCAAGCGUUGUCCGGAUUUACCGGGUGUAAAGGGCGUGCAGCCGGACUGACAAGUCAGAUGUGAAAUCCGGG